UGGCUCAGAACGAACGCUGGCGGCAGGCCUAACACAUGCAAGUCGAGCGAGGACUUCGGUCCUAGCGGCGGACGGGUGAGUAACGCGUGGGAACGUGCCCUUUGCUACGGAAUAGCCGUCGGGAAACUGGGAGUAAUACCGUAUGUNCCCGUUCGGGGGAAAGAUUUAUCGGCAAAGGAUCGGCCCGCGUUGGAUUAGGUAGUUGGUGGGUAAUGGCCUACCAAGCCGACGAUCCAUAGCUGGUUUGAGAGGAUGAUCAGCCACACUGGGACUGAGACACGGCCCAGACUCCUACGGGAGGCAGCAGGUGGGGAAUCUUAGACAAUGGGGGAAACCCUGAUCUAGCCAUGCCGCGUGAGCGAUGAAGGCCUUAGGGUUGUAAAGCUCUUUCAGCUGGGAAGAUAAUGACGGUACCAGCAGAAGAAGCCCCGGCUAACUCCGUG
rnacentral:rRNA from 1 species